AGCGAACGCUGGCGGCAGGCUUAACACAUGCAAGUCGAGCGGGCCUUUCGGGGUCAGCGGCGGACGGGUGAGUAACGCGUGGGAACGUGCCCUCUGGUUCGGAAUAACUCAGGGAAACUUGAGCUAAUACCGGAUACGCCCUUUUGGGGAAAGGCUUGCUGCCUGAGGAUCGGCCCGCGUCUGAUUAGCUAGUUGGUGAGGUAACGGCUCACCAAGGCGACGAUCAGUAGCUGGUCUGAGAGGAUGAUCAGCCACACUGGGACUGAGACACGGCCCAGACUCCUACGGGAGGCAGCAGUGGGGAAUAUUGGACAAUGGGCGCAAGCCUGAUCCAGCCAUGCCGCGUGAGUGAUGAAGGCCUUAGGGUUGUAAAGCUCUUUUAUCCGGGACGAUAAUGACGGUACCAGAGGAAUAAGCCCCGGCUAACUUCGUG
rnacentral:rRNA from 1 species